UACGGGGGGAGCAAGCGUUGUUCGGAUUUACUGGGCGUAAAGGGCGCGUAGGCGGCGCGGGCAGUCAACGGUGAAAGCUCGGAGCUCAACUCCGAGUCGGCCGUCGAUACUCCCGUGCUUGAGCACUGUAGAGGCAGGUGGAAUUCCGGGUGUAGCGGUGGAAUGCGUAGAGAUCCGGAAGAACACCGGUGGCGAAGGCGGCCUGCUGGGCAGUAGCUGACGCUGAGGCGCGACAGCGUGGGGAGCAAACAGG
rnacentral:rRNA from 1 species